UCUCUCCGAAAUAGCUUUAGGGCUAGCCUCAAGUGAUGAUUAUUGGAGGUAGAGCACUGUUUGGACGAGGGGCCCCUCUCGGGUUACCGAAUUCAGACAAACUCCGAAUGCCAAUUAAUUUAACUUGGGAGUCAGAACAUGGGUGAUAAGGUCCGUGUUCGAAAGGGAAACAGCCCAGACCACCAGCUAAGGUCCCAAAAUAUAUGUUAAGUGGAAAAGGAUGUGGCGUUGCCCAGACAACUAGGAUGUUGGCUUAGAAGCAGCCAUCAUUUAAAGAGUGCGUAAUAGCUCACUAGUCGAGUGACACUGCGCCGAAAAUGUACCGGGGCUAAACAUAUUACCGAAGCUGUGGAUUGUCCUUUGGACAAUGGUAGGAGAGCGUUCUAAGGGCGUUGAAGCAUGAUCGUAAGGACAUGUGGAGCGCUUAGAAGUGAGAAUGCCGGUGUGAGUAGCGAAAGACGGGUGAGAAUCCCGUCCACCGAUUGACUAAGGUUUCCAGAGGAAGGCUCGUCCGCUCUGGGUUAGUCGGGUCCUAAGCUGAGGCCGACAGGCGUAGGCGAUGGAUAACAGGUUGAUAUUCCUGUACCACCUAUAAUCGUUUUAAUCGAUGGGGGGACGCAGUAGGAUAGGCGAAGCGUGCGAUUGGAUUGCACGUCUAAGCAGUAAGGCUGAGUAUUAGGCAAAUCCGGUACUCGUUAAGGCUGAGCUGUGAUGGGGAGAAGACAUUGAGUCUUCGAGUCGUUGAUUUCACACUGCCGAGAAAAGCCUCUAGAUAGAAAAUAGGUGCCCGUACCGCAAACCGACACAGGUAGUCAAGAUGAGAAUUCUAAGGUGAGCGAGCGAACUCUCGUUAAGGAACUCGGCAAAAUGACCCCGUAACUUCGGGAGAAGGGGUGCUCUUUAGGGUUAACGCCCAGAAGAGCCGCAGUGAAUAGGCCCAAGCGACUGUUUAUCAAAAACACAGGUCUCUGCUAAACCGUAAGGUGAUGUAUAGGGGCUGACGCCUGCCCGGUGCUGGAAGGUUAAGAGGAGUGGUUAGCUUCUGCGAAGCUACGAAUCGAAGCCCCAGUAAACGGCGGCCGUAACUAUAACGGUCCUAAGGUAGCGAAAUUCCUUGUCGGGUAAGUUCCGACCCGCACGAAAGGCGUAACGAUUUGGGCACUGUCUCAACGAGAGACUCGGUGAAAUCAUAGUACCUGUGAAGAUGCAGGUUACCCGCGACAGGACGGAAAGACCCCGUGGAGCUUUACUGUAGCCUGAUAUUGAAAUUCGGCACAGCUUGUACAGGAUAGGUAGGAGCCUUUGAAACGUGAGCGCUAGCUUACGUGGAGGCGCUGGUGGGAUACU
rnacentral:rRNA from 1 species